rnacentral:rRNA from 1 species
AAAGGAAUAGACGGGACCCCGCACAAGCGGUGGAUCAUGUUGUUUAAUUCGAAGAUACGCGAAGAACCUUACCAGGUCUUGACAUACUUUGCAAUGCUAUAGAGAUAUAGCGGAGGUUAUCAAAGAUACAGGUGGUGCAUGGUUGUCGUCAGCUCGUGUCGUGAGAUGUUGGGUUAAGUCCCGUAACGAGCGCAACCCCUAUUGCUAGUUGCCAUCAUUAAGUUGGGGACUCUAGCGAGACUGCCAGUGAUAAACUGGAGGAAGGUGGGGAUGACGUCAAAUCAUCAUGCCCCUUAUGACCUGGGCUACAAACGUGAUACAAUGGCUAGAACAAAGGGCAGCGAAGCAGUGAUGUGUAGCGAAACCCACAAAUCUAGUCUCAGUUCGGAUCGAAGUCUGCAACUCGACUUCGUGAAGCCGGAAUCGCUAGUAAUCGUGGAUCAGAACGCCACGGUGAAUACGUUCUCGGGGUUUGUACACACCGCCCGU